rnacentral:lncRNA from 1 species
ACUCCGACUAGGGACAACUUUUAGAAUAACCAUACAAGUAAAGAGUUCCACAUGCAAUUCACAUAAUUGCAGAUCAAUUCAAGUAGGCUUUAAUGGAUAUUCAAUGAACACAAUAUAAAAAUCAUGGAUACAAUCAGAUAUCAUCAUCUCUAUGAUUGCCUCUAGGGCAUACCUCCAAGACCCAGAAGAUGGUUUUACUGGUUAUCUUCAGCUGAAUGGUGGUAUAAUACUUCAUAUCAUAUCUCUCUCAACAU